AACGAACGCUGGCGGCAUGCCUAACACAUGCAAGUCGAACGAGACCUUCGGGUCUAGUGGCGCACGGGUGAGUAACGCGUGGGAACCUGCCCUUAGGUUCGGAAUAACUCCCCGAAAGGGGUGCCAAUACCGGAUAAUGUCUUCGGACCAAAGAUUUAUCGCCUUUGGAUGGGCCCGCGUUGGAUUAGCUAGUUGGUAGGGUAAAAGCCUACCAAGGCGACGAUCCAUGGCUGGUCUGAGAGGAUGAUCAGCCACACUGGGACUGAGACACGGCCCAGACUCCUACGGGAGGAAGCAGUGGGGAAUAUUGGACAAUGGGCGAAAGCCUGAUCCAGCAAUGCCGCGUGAGUGAUGAAGGCCUUAGGGUUGUAAAGCUCUUUUACCCGGGAUGAUAAUGACAGUACCGGGAGAAUAAGCCCCGGCUAACUCCGU
rnacentral:rRNA from 1 species